UGUCACGGGUGCUGUGUGUUUUUGGAUCCUCCCCCCUUUCUGUUACCGCUGUCGUGCCCUAUUCGACGGGUGUUUGAUGUCUGUCAGUAUGGAGGAGGAAGUGCAGCAGCUCCGGGAGCUCGUGCAGCAGCUGAAGACAGACAACGAGCGUCUGCGUGGGGAGCGUGCUGCGUCUCCAUCAGACCCCAAUGGGGCAGCGCCAGCCUCCACGAAACCAGCUGGUAGUUCGCCUGCUGUUGUGACGGAGCGGCUGGUGGUUAUACCAAGGGAUCGCAGGUGUCCCAUGUUUAACGGUAGAUCAGGUAUUGGUGUGGCUGAGUGGAUUGAAGAGAUACAGGCGUGCGUGUGUGGCAAAGCGGGGGUUCUAAAUGUAAUAUAUAUUGCCGGACAACGCCACCUGGGGAAUUUCACCCCAGGAAAUAAACUAAAACUGUUAAAAGGCUGCACAGGUUCGGAUCACCACGAGGCAGGAGACAGUGUUCAUGUUUAAAGGAACGAAUUUAUUAAACAAUGGUUAAAACGAGGUUCCAACGAUUGUGGGGAGCACCACACAUAUACAGCACUGGAUGGAGUGGAAUGGACUGUGCUGGGUACCUUUGGACGACCAACUCAAUUAGGGGAGGGGAAUCAAAAUAUCACCUGUGUCACCGCACACACACACACACACACAACUGAAAAGUGGAAAAGAGCCGCCACCAGGGGGAGGGUCGCCGUCCGGAGCCCACAGCACCUGUCCACAAAGAAAUAUAAUAAAAUGGCUGUAUUAUGCCUGUUGGUGAUAACGCACAUGCACACACACACGCACACACGCACACACGCACACACGCACGCAGAACAAAAGCAGUACACAGAAAGCAAAUGAAACAAAACAAAAGUACAAAUAACUAAUAAUCAACAAAUCAAUAAUCCAAACAGCACCAAUCCAGGAACCCGCAGGUUAAGACAAAAAAAAAAUAAAGUCAACGAUAACCAAAAAAAAAACAGCAGCGUCGUCAGAACAGCUGUGACGCCAAUUACGCUUGGCAGGGAUCCCACGGCAGCGUCACAGCAGGUCAGGCCGUGGAAAGGCUUGGUCCAAUCUAUGGCACACAUUAUCUAUUAGUCAGGAAGUGAGUGCAAGGAGAGGGGGGAGAACGGACCAUGGCACUCACCACGAGGACAUGCACAACCCACCCACGGUAGUCUCCAGCGGGGCAGCCCAGCCCCGAGGACGCAUCACCCGCACACGGAAAUCAACAGCGGGGCGAUCCAGCCCUGCAGCAACAGCGGCCAGCAGCCUGAAGCAGGGAACGGGCUGUCAGGAUUGCGCAAUAUGGCACGCCAAGUGGUGGGGAUACAGCCGGCGCCUACCUUUCAGCUGCAGGGAGAACGUGCGCCACAACAACUGACACGUUCACAGCACGCGCAGUCAAUGCCUCCGUCUCAGCUGAUCACGCCGCAAACGUCCACCGCGGAUGAGUGACCCCAGAGGAGAGGAGAGAGAGACCGCGGCUGCAGCCCGACCCGCAUAUAAAGCAUCUGCAGAGGCUCGAAGUUGUUCUGGGUCGUCUUCAGAAAGAGGGAUUGAAGGCGAAGCUUGGGAAGUGCUCUUUCUUUCAAAAGGAAGUAAAAUACUUGGGCCAUGUGAUCUCUAGCCAGGGAGUGGCCACUGAUCCAGACAAGAUCGAGGCUGUGGCCAAGUGGCAGCGCCCCCAGAAUGUGUCAGAGCUACGCUCCUUUCUGGGCUUUGCCAGCUACUACAGACAUUUCGUGGAGGGAUUUGCCUACUUGGCUGGCCCCCUCCAUAAGCUAGUUGCCAAACUGGUGGGUACAAAAUCCAAGAAGGGCUCAGGGAAGCACCUGGGUGUCUCCUGGACCUCUCAGUGUGAGGAGAGUUUUGAGGCCCUUAAGGUUAUUUUCAGUUACACGUGAAUUGAAGCAGAUGUAAAAUGUCAGUUCAUACGGAACACUGAGACUGUAUAGUUUAAUUUUGAUUUCAGCCAUCAUAAAGAUACUUUGUGUUACUGGUACAAUAUGUUAUUUUUCUAACAAUGUUAAUUGUAUGGUUUUCAUCUGGCAGUU